ACUUUGCAGCCCGACUUGAGUGGAACUCUCCGCCGCGGCGGAAGUGGGAACGGAAGGCGGAAAUGUCU
rnacentral:misc_RNA from 1 species